GUUAGGAAUAUUGGACAAUGGGCGCAAGCCUGAUCCAGCCAUGCCGCGUGAGUGAUGAAGGCCUUCGGGUUGUAAAGCUCUUUAGCCGAUGAUUAUAAUGACUGUAGUCGGAAAAUAAGCCCCGGCUAACUUCGUGCCAGCAGCCGCGGUAAUACGAAGGGGGCGAGCGUUAUUCGGAAUCACUGGGCGUAAAGCGUGCGUAGGCGGCUUUGCAAGUUGGGAGUGAAAGCCCAGGGCUCAACCCUGGAAUUGCACUCAAAACUGCAAGGCUCGAAUUCGGGAGAGGAUAGCGGAAUUGUCAGUGUAGCAGUGAAAUGCGUAGAUAUUGACAGGAACACCAGUGGCGUAAGCGGCUAUCUGGACCGAUAUUGACGCUGAGGCACGAAAGCGUGGGGAUCAAACAGGAUUAGAAACCCUAGUAGUCC
rnacentral:rRNA from 1 species